rnacentral:rRNA from 1 species
GACGAACGCUGGCGGCGUGCUUAACACAUGCAAGUCGAACGGAAAGGCCCUGCUUUUGUGGGGUGCUCGAGUGGCGAACGGGUGAGUAACACGUGAGUAACCUGCCCUUGACUUUGGGAUAACUUCAGGAAACUGGGGCUAAUACCGGAUAGGUGCUCCUGCUGCAUGGGGGGGGUUGGAAAGUUUCGGCGGUUGGGGAUGGACUCGCGGCUUAUCAGCUUGUUGGUGGGGUAGUGGCUUACCACGGCUUUGACGGGUAGCCGGCCUGAGAGGGUGACCGGCCACAUUGGGACUGAGAUACGGCCCAGAAUCCUACGGGAGGCAGCAGUGGGGAAUAUUGCACAAUGGGCGGAAGCCUGAUGCAGCAACGCCGCGUGCGGGAUGACGGCCUUCGGGUUGUAAACCGCUUUCGCCUGUGACGAAGCGUGAGUGACGGUAAUGGGUAAAGAAGCACCGGCUAACUACGUG